rnacentral:lncRNA from 1 species
CUGAGAAAUGCAUUGUCGGGUGAUUUCAUAGUAUGAGUAUCACAGAGUGUACUUACACAGAUGUAGCCAGGAUGGCCUACUACACACCUAGGCUCUAUGGUAGUAGCCUUAUGUCUUGUGGGUCACCGUGGUAUACCCAUCAUGGACCGAAAUGUCGUUGGGUGGUGCAUGACCGUAUUGCAAUCCUUCCUUUACCUUCUGAAAUGGCUAGGAAUUGUACCACAGUACCGAUGGGGAAACAGGCUGGAGCUCAAAGAGGUGGUGCACAUGCCCACAGUCACCCGGCUGAGCGGCAGACCAGAGCUCGAAUUCAGAUCUGACUCCUAAAUGCAUGAUUUUUCCAUCAGUACGUGGACUGAAGGAAUCUCUGUGCUCUUUGAAACUUCUGAAGCAGUCUGCCUGAGAUAAAGCAUGUGUCAGGGGAACUAAGGCACUUGAAAAGAACAGGGCAAAAUUCUGUGAAGAAACCACCUCACCAUGUCAGAGACGGUCUGAUUUCUCCCCGUAGCCUGAUUUCUCUGGGGAAUCCAUGGGCGCUCUGAAAUUGUUUGCAAACCUGUGUGGGCCUAUGUUCAUAUUCUAGGUGGUAAGGGCCUCAUCUCUUAUGGGAGUCUCAAAAUCUGUUAAUCUUCCUGCUCUAGACAUAGGAAACCAUCCAGGUUUUAUGAGUAAUCAUCAGUCUUUCUCGAUAUAAUGCUAGCUGCCCAUAACCCACAAAUAAAGACAGUGCUUUGGGAGGAGUCUAUAAAAUUUACAUAUAAAUAUGUUUGUUUUAUUUUUCAGCUUAGGCAACUCCUGUCCAGGCAGUUCUGGUCACAUGUAGGUAUGACAUAAAGGCAUAAAAGGUGCCCCCCAAAACAAAUGUAGAAGCUACCAAGUCAUUCCCAACUACGUACUGACUUUAUUAAAAUUCUUUAGAGCCAGCCCUAUUGGCCUAGUAGUUCAAGUUUGGUGCUCUUACUGCUUCGAUGGCCCAGGUUCAUUUCCCGGUAGUGGAACCACACCAUCUGUCUGUCAGCUGCCAUAAUGUGGCAGUGGCUCACACAGACGAACUAGAAGGACUUACAGCUAGGAUAUACAAGCAUGCACUGGGGCUUUGGGGAGGAAAAAAAAAUUCUUUAAAGCCUUGUGUCUGCAUGCCCUACUCAUUCCACUGACUCUUUCUAAGGCACUAGGCUCCCUUUGGUGAAGUGGCAAAGGCUAGUAGCCAGGGUGACCUCAUCUUCAACAGAGAAGUGUAAACAGGUAUGGGAAAGAGAACCAGAGUCAGAGUAAGGCACAGAUUUCUUCCUCCCACAUCUGUGCUGCCCAAACCUCCCUGCAUUGGUCUGGCUUCUCUAGAGAAACAGAACCAAUAAGACUGACUGAUUGAUGAGAAGGAAUUGGUUCACUUGGUUAUGGAAGAUAAGAAGUCCCAAGACCUGCAGUUGGCAAGCUGGAGAUGCAGGGGAGCUCAGACUACGAAGUCACGUGUCACUUAAGGACGGGGACACGUUCUGAGAAAUGUGUUGUUAGGUGAUUUCGUCAUUGUGGGAACAUCAUAGAGUGUACUCACACAAACCUAGAUAGUCUAGCCUACUACAUACCUAGGCUAUAUGGUACUAAUCUUAUGGGACCACUGUCAUAUAUGUGGUCCAUCAUUGACCGAAGCGUCGUUAUGCGGCCCAUGACUGUGGCUCCAGUCUGAGUCUGAGGCCACAGAAGCAGAAGAGCUGGUCUAAGUUCCAGUCUGAAGGUAGAAGAAAACUGGUGUCCCAGCUUGAAGAUAGUCAGGCAGAGAGAGUGAAUUCUCCCUUCCUCCACCUUUUUGUUCUGUUCAGGCCUUCCACAGACUGGAUGAGGCCCACCCACAUUGGGGAGGGAAUCCACUUUACUUAGUCUACUGCUUCAAAUGUUUAUCUCCUCCAGAAACGUCCUCACAGACAUACUCAGAAUAAUAUCUAACCACACUUCUGGGCAUCCCAUGCCCCAGUCAGGUUGACACAUAAAAUUAACCAUCAUACCCUCUGUUUCUUCACCCAUCGGUUUCCCUUCUCUCUAGGCCCAGAGGGAGAGAGUCCCGCUUCCUCUAAAGUGAACUCCUCUCCCUGUCCUCAAGCUUGUCUUUCAACCCCUAAGAAUCCUUGAGAAUUGCCUAAAGGUAGGGAAGCCAGCAAAGAGAGACACGCUAUCUUCAGGUAAUCCAUGACCCUGAUGCAGAAAAAGGCAUGGAUAUUGGGAAGAUGAAGCCAGAUUACAGAUCGCAAGCGGAUCAAACCUCCCCAAAUGCUGCAGGAAGGAUCCCCUGUGAGUGAUAGAAAACACAACACAAACAGCUUAAGCCCAACAGAAAUCGAUUGGCUGAACAUUGUGGAAAGUCCAGGGGAUAGUGACGUACACAGAAAUUUAUAUAAUACUAUAAAUCAAUGUUACUGCAAUUAAAAAAGAAGAAAAGAAAAAGAAAGUUCCAGGGGAGACACCUAGCAUCAGACACUGCUGGAUUCAGGGGCUCAGAUAAUGUCGUCAGGAACUAGCCUCUCGCCUUCUCUUUGCUCUCCUUUCAUCUGUGGUGGCUACUUCCUCAGAGAUGCCCUCUCUUUGGAGUGACAAGAUGACAGCCAGCAAUUCUAGGCUUAUAUUCUCCUAAGUGCAAGUCCAACAGUUCAAGGCAAAGUCCUGGACCUGACUCUCAGGGUCGUGAGUUGGACCACAUGACCAGUCCUGAACAGAUCACUGUGGCCAAGAGGAUGCUAUACUCCCACUGAUCAAGCCCAGUUGGACCCCUGCAGACUGCCGAGAGCUCUGUAACUCUUAUCUGCUUGACAUGAAACGUCCUUCAGGAGGUGAAUCCUACCAGCAACCAGGAGGAGCUUGGAAGGCUCUCCAGUGGAGACUUUGAGGAGGCCGCAGCCCCAGCCAGCACCUGCCGGCAGCCUUGUGACAUCCUGAGCAGCGGACCCAGCCAUGCUGUGCCUGGACUCCUGACCCACAGAAAUUUGAGAUAAUAAAUGUG